GUCCUCACUUUGGCAGAACAUAUACUAAAACUGGAAUGAUACAGAGAUUAGUAUGGUCCCUAUGCAAGGAUGGUAUAAAUUCACCAAGUCUUCCACAUUUUU